rnacentral:rRNA from 1 species
AGAGUUUGAUCCUGGCUCAGGAGGAACGCUGGCGGCGUGCCUAAUACAUGCAAGUCGAACGAGAGCGACCGGUGCUUGCACUGGUCAAUCUAGUGGCGAACGGGUGAGUAACACGUGGGUAACCUGCCCAUCAGAGGGGGAUAACAUUCGGAAACGGAUGCUAAAACCGCAUAGGUCCUUUAACCGCAUGGUUGAAGGAGGAAAAGAGGCCCAAGGUUUUGCUGAAGGAUGGACCCGCGGUGCAUUAGCUAGCUGGUGAGGUAACGGCUCACCAAGGCCGUGAUGCAUAGCCGACCUGAGAGGGUGAUCGGCCACAUUGGGACUGAGACACGGCCCAAACUCCUACGGGAGGCAGCAGUAGGGAAUCUUCCGCAAUGGACGCAAGUCUGACGGAGCAACGCCGCGUGAGUGAGGAAGGUUUUCGGAUCGUAAAACUCUGUUGUUAGAGAAGAACAAGUGCUAGAGUAACUGUUAGCGCCUUGACGGUAUCUAACCAGAAAGCCACGGCUAACUACGUGCCAGCAGCCGCGGUAAUACGUAGGUGGCAAGCGUUGUCCGGAUUUAUUGGGCGUAAAGCGAGCGCAGGCGGUUCCUUAAGUCUGAUGUGAAAGCCCCCGGCUCAACCGGGGAGGGUCAUUGGAAACUGGGGAACUUGGGUGCAGAAGAGGAGAGUGGAAUUCCAUGUGUAGCAGUGAAAUGCGUAGAUAUAUGGAGGAACACCAGUGGCGAAGGCGACUCUCUGGUCUGUAACUGACGCUGAGGCUCGAAAGCGUGGGUAGCAAACAGGAUUAGAUACCCUGGUAGUCCACGCCGUAAAC